AGAACGAUAAUGAUCCGUAACAGUAAAAUUGGAAAAGUAUCCCUAUAUAAUCGUUUCGUUUGAUUAAUUCAAUGAUCAGAUCGAUCGAUCUCUGUCUGUUUCCUUCAUUCUAAAUAAACAUCGGUUUCACCAGAGACUACGACGAAACUGAAAAGUGAAGAGAGGAAUUCGUAAUAGUCUCUGUGAAUCCGCCGAUGAUGAUCCACCCAACGCGAUGAUGAUGAUCCACCCAACGCGAUGAUGAUGAUCCACCCAAGGCGAUGAUGAUGAUUCUUAAGGUCUAAAUCAAUAUCGAUUUCACGGGAUACUAAGUCUAGCCACGGAGAAGCUUUCACCAGAGACUGAAAUUAAAAGUGAAAGAGAGGAAUCGAGCGAGGAAGUGGAUGCACACAGGACAGCCUCGUAGAGUUGUAGCCAUGUCUGUGUCUCGUCGUGUUGAUGAAGUUGGUUACACCGUUCGUUUUGAGGACACCAGAACCGUGCUUAAAUAUGACCAGGUACUUCACUAAUGGAACGCUCCUCAAAGUGAUUAUUCUCGAAGAAAGAUCACUAGCCAUAGAUUUGGUCUUUGGUCUUCUCGAUUAACAUUGCUAAGACUUUCUUAACUAUAUAUGGGAUUGUCUAAGUCAUUGACCCUGGUUUUGCCAACCCACGAAAAAAUCCGUUUUGUAUUACUUGGGAGCACUUGAUGAUGAAGGUAACUUGACAAAGACAGGUGAGAUAGUGAUCAGUGAGUUCUCUUGGAUCCACAGGUGGUGAAGAUGCUCAUAGUCAGUCCUGAAUUCAAUUGUUCAAACGAGAUUCUCUAGGUUUUAGCCAUGCUCUCAGAGUCUCAAAAAGCAGCAGAUGAAGCUAAAGCUAGAUUUGGACACAUUGAUGGAGAUCAUCUAACAUUGUUGAGCAGUCUACUUUUAAGCAAAUACAAUGAAGAUCCCAAUUGGUGCCUAUGAAAACUUCAUCAACAAUAGAGCGAUUAAAUUUGCAGACAAUGUUAGACAGCAGCUAGUUCGGAUAGAUAACGUCAUGGUUCAACAACCUGAAGAUGUGCAGCACUCGUUUUAACUACUAUUAUCAGCACACGCCGGUUAUUUCAUACAAGUGGCUCACUUAGAACGCACUGGUCAUUUACUUGACAGCCAAAGACAACCAAGUGGUUCAUUUGUAUCCAUCAAAUUGCUUGGAUCACAUGCUAGUCGAUGUUGCUCCUCAUGAAACGUGUCCUCGGGAAGCUGGGAGAAGGAAGAGAGCAAGAACCGGAAAAGGAGAACAUUCAUUAUCCUCAUAUGUCAGCGUCUAAUUCUACUUGGACAAGAGAAUCCAUAAGAGGAGGAUUAUAUAGUGAAUAUAUCAAGGUAGCAGGAUGCUCAAGACAUCACAGCUUUGCAGGUUUACCACAUCACUGUACCGGUCUAUGUAAAAACUGAGGGAGCGUUCCAGUACCAAGAAGUCCAUUGUUUUUACUUUUAUUUUAACAGUUUUCAAAUUUUGUUCCAAAA